AUUGAACGCUGGCGGCAUGCUUUACACAUGCAAGUCGAACGGUAACGGGCCUUCGGGUGCUGACGAGUGGCGAACGGGUGAGUAAUGCAUCGGAACGUGCCCAGAGGUGGGGGAUAACGCAGCGAAAGCUGUGCUAAUACCGCAUGUGAUCUGAGGAUGAAAGCGGGGGACCAAGCAGCAAUGUUUGGCCUCGCGCCUCUGGAGCGGCCGAUGUCAGAUUAGGUAGUUGGUGGGGUAAAGGCCUACCAAGCCGACGAUCUGUAGCUGGUCUGAGAGGACGACCAGCCACACUGGGACUGAGACACGGCCCAGACUCCUACGGGAGGCAGCAGUGGGGAAUUUUGGACAAUGGGCGCAAGCCUGAUCCAGCAAUGCCGCGUGCGGGAAGAAGGCCUUCGGGUUGUAAACCGCUUUUGUACGGAACGAAAAGGCUCUGGCUAAUACCUGGGGCUGAUGACGGUACCGUAAGAAUAAGCACCGGCUAACUACGUG
rnacentral:rRNA from 1 species